GUCUGUUUAUGGGCUCUGUGCUGGCAGGCGGCUAGAGGAGGAGCCGGGAGAGGAGGGGCCGCAGCGGGGGGCAGUGCCGACCCUCGGCUCCCCCCACGCCGCCUGGGCCGGGGUGAAGAACACCCCAUUUUGGGUGUGCGUGGGAGCCUGAGUACCAGCCGCUGCAAUAGGGCUAUGGAUCAGAGAGGCCCACGUGCCCAUGGUGAAAUGAGUGCAGAGCUGAUGGAGUAAGCAGCAGUAAAAAAAGAGACACAGGCUGAAAAUCCAUCACUGAGAACCAAAUUUCCCUACGAAAUGCAGGGAAAAUAUCCCACCCUCCCACUGGAAAACCCAGCUGGUUUUUCUCCAGUUAUUUUGCUGGACACACAUCUACCUCCCACACUGUAUUUAUGAAGAUUGUUUUUAUGAAGAUCAUCUGUUGAGUAGCUAUGGGUGAAGUACCUUAAUGCUUCCUUAGCAGAGAUACCUGAUACUGCACCAACUAAAACUGUCCACUUAAAAUGGUUGUGUUGG